UUUAUGGAGAGUUUGAUCCUGGCUCAGGAUGAACGCUGGCGGCGUGCCUAAUACAUGCAAGUCGAGCGAACGGACGAGAAGCUUGCUUCUCUGAUGUUAGCGGCGGACGGGUGAGUAACACGUGGAUAACCUACCUAUAAGACUGGGAUAACUUCGGGAAACCGGAGCUAAUACCGGAUAAUAUUUUGAACCGCAUGGUUCAAAAGUGAAAGACGGUCUUGCUGUCACUUAUAGAUGGAUCCGCGCUGCAUUAGCUAGUUGGUAAGGUAACGGCUUACCAAGGCAACGAUGCAUAGCCGACCUGAGAGGGUGAUCGGCCACACUGGAACUGAGACACGGUCCAGACUCCUACGGGAGGCAGCAGUAGGGAAUCUUCCGCAAUGGGCGAAAGCCUGACGGAGCAACGCCGCGUGAGUGAUGAAGGUCUUCGGAUCGUAAAACUCUGUUAUUAGGGAAGAACAUAUGUGUAAGUAACUGUGCACAUCUUGACGGUACCUAAUCAGAAAGCCACGGCUAACUACGUGCCAGCAGCCGCGGUAAUACGUAGGUGGCAAGCGUUAUCCGGAAUUAUUGGGCGUAAAGCGCGCGUAGGCGGUNNNNNAGUCUGAUGUGAAAGCCCACGGCUCAACCGUGGAGGGUCAUUGGAAACUGGAAAACUUGAGUGCAGAAGAGGAAAGUGGAAUUCCAUGUGUAGCGGUGAAAUGCGCAGAGAUAUGGAGGAACACCAGUGGCGAAGGCGACUUUCUGGUCUGUAACUGACGCUGAUGUGCGAAAGCGUGGGGAUCAAACAGGAUUAGAUACCCUGGUAGUCCACGCCGUAAACGAUGAGUGCUAAGUGUUAGGGGGUUUCCGCCCCUUAGUGCUGCAGCUAACGCAUUAAGCACUCCGCCUGGGGAGUACGACCGCAAGGUUGAAACUCAAAGGAAUUGACGGGGACCCGCACAAGCGGUGGAGCAUGUGGUUUAAUUCGAAGCAACGCGAAGAACCUUACCAAAUCUUGACAUCCUUUGACAACUCUAGAGAUAGAGCUUUCCCCUUCGGGGGACAAAGUGACAGGUGGUGCAUGGUUGUCGUCAGCUCGUGUCGUGAGAUGUUGGGUUAAGUCCCGCAACGAGCGCAACCCUUAAGCUUAGUUGCCAUCAUUAAGUUGGGCACUCUAAGUUGACUGCCGGUGACAAACCGGAGGAAGGUGGGGAUGACGUCAAAUCAUCAUGCCCCUUAUGAUUUGGGCUACACACGUGCUACAAUGGACAAUACAAAGGGCAGCGAAACCGUGAGGUCAAGCAAAUCCCAUAAAGUUGUUCUCAGUUCGGAUUGUAGUCUGCAACUCGACUACAUGAAGCUGGAAUCGCUAGUAAUCGUAGAUCAGCAUGCUACGGUGAAUACGUUCCCGGGUCUUGUACACACCGCCCGUCACACCACGAGAGUUUGUAACACCCGAAGCCGGUGGAGUAACCUUUUAGGAGCUAGCCGUCGAAGGUGGGACAAAUGAUUGGGGUGAAGUCGUAACAAGGUAGCCGUAUCGGAAGGUGCGGCUGGAUCACCUCCUUUCU
rnacentral:rRNA from 1 species